UACGUAGGGGGCAAGCGUUGUCCGGAAUCAUUGGGCGUAAAGCGCGUGUAGGCGGCUAGGUAAGUCUGCUCUGAAAGCCCGUGGCUCAACCACGGAAUUGCCUUUGAAACUGCAUUGCUGGAGUGUCGGAGGGGAUAGCGGAAUUGCUAAUGUAGAGGUGAAAUUCGUAGAUAUUAGCAGGAACACCGGUGGCGAAGGCGGCUAUCUGGACGACAACUGACGCUGAGGCGCGAAAGCGUGGGGAUCAAACAGG
rnacentral:rRNA from 1 species